CAUUUGCCCACCUCUGGUCUAUGCCUCUCUUGCUGUCGAAAAAGCCGGUAUGCUGAUGGCGCUGGGAUGCAGGAAGGAAGGAAGGAAGGAAGGGGAUGAUUCAGAAAAGUAUCUUUCCGAAGAGAUUUUGAUGCUUUGCCAGAAAUGGAUAUUUUGGGAAGAGGCUGAAGCUUUACCCUCAAUACUUGGAUGAGGGGAAGUAAAGUUUACCAGAAUUGAAAAAUGAGUCAGUCCUCGACUUAUGACUGGAUGCUUAGUGACCAUUUGAAGUUACAACAUAUCCUGAAAAAGGGAAGGUACGACCUGGAUUCAAAGGUCCAAUAUCCACUGUGCCCACCCUGCCCAGGAACUUGAACAUAUUUGGGGCACUUGGCAACUGGUCUGCAUUUACCUUCAUUUGCAAUAUCCCGUGGCCACAUGACUGUGAUUUAUGACAGUUUCCAGCAAAAUAAAAUGUAGUAAACAAGGGCUUCUCUUAAUAACCACGGUGUUCCCUGCUUCCGUGGUAUGGAGACAAUAAUUUAGUCCUUAACACCAAUAAGACCAAGGAGCUUAUAGAGGACUACAGAAGGAAUAAAUCAGACAUCCAACCCUUGCUUAUCAAUGGAGACCAAGAGAAGCAAGUGGCCACUUUUAAGUUUCUGGGUGUUAUCAUAAAAGAGGACCUGACCUGGGGCAUUCACAUUGCAGCACUGGUCAAAAGGGCCCAGCAGAGAUUAUACUGAGACUUCUCAGAAAACAACAACUGAAUGAAAAACUGCUGGUGACCUUCUACUGCUGCACCAUAGAGAGUAUUUUAACUUAAUGCACCUGUGUAUGGUUUGCCAAAACUCCAGAGGGUUAACAUCAUCAUUGCCCAGAGGUUCAUUGCUUGCCCUCUCUCCUCUUUGGAAGAGCUUUGUAGCUCCUGCUGCCUUAAGAAAGUUCAAAACAUUAUUAAAGAUCCAUCCCAUCCUGGGCACCCUUUUUUUGAACUAUUACCAUCUGGCAGACGGUACAGGAUAAUAAAAACAAGGACAAAUAGAUUGAAAAACAGCUUCUAUCCCAGUAACCAUAUUGACUUUUACUAUAUACUGUAAUAUUAAUGCAAUAUCAGGGGUUUUCAAUUCAAUUGUAUAGAAUGUGAAGGAUAUGUGUUUGUGUUUAUUUUUAUAGUUAUUAUGUACACUGAAGAUGGCAAUUAAUUUCGUUGUAUGAGGUGCAGUGACAAUAAAGUAAACUAAACUAAA